rnacentral:rRNA from 1 species
GAUGAACGCUGGCGGUACGCCUUACACAUGCAAGUCGAACGGAAAUUAGCCUCGGUUAAUUUUAGUGGCGGACGGGUGAGUAACACGUGAGAAUUCGCCUUUAGGAGGGGGAUAACGGAUGGAAACAUUCGCUAAAACCCCAUAUGCCCCUGGGUGAAAACAGAGGAGAUAAGUAAUACUGACUCACCUCUGCCUGAAGAGAAGCUCGCGGCUGAUUAGCUAGUUGGUAGGGUAAAGGCCUACCAAGGCGACGAUCAGUAGCUGGUCUGAGAGGACGAUCAGCCACACUGGAACUGAGACACGGUCCAGACUCCUACGGAGGCAGCAGUGAGGAAUUUUCUGCAAUGGGCGAAAGCCUGACAGAGCAAUACCGCGUGAGGGAUGAAGACUUACUGAGUUGUAAAACCUCGGUAACCUUUAAAGGAAGAAGAUCUGACGGUACUUAAGGUGGAAAGCAUCGGCUAACUCCGUGCCAGC